GUGCACUGCACCAGCAUGUCCUCCCUGCCUCUGCUCUUCUGACUUCAGCUCCCAGAAAUCCCAUGAGGGUCAGCCCUGACAUCCUGGGGCCGCAUGACUUGUUCUCCUGAGGAACGGAGGCCUCUCCUAGGUUGGGAUGUUUUCUGUGUCAACUACCAUUCCCUGACUAAUCGUACAAUUUCUUUCUGAGAAACCACGGAGGAGAAAACAGCAAGAACAAAGACCACAUUGCAUCCCAGAUUAUCAAGCCUCUAUGGCAGUGAUGCUGCUGCUGCUGCUGAUCAGAAUGGCUUCCUAGUUUCAAAUACUACCUAGUGUGAUCUUCACAGCAGCUGGAUGCUUCGGCUUUGUGCAGACAGAUUGCAGCACGCUUGCCAGUAUGUGUCCUUUUGAAUCUGCUUUAUUGAUGUAGAACAAAGUUUCAUUUGCUCACCGAUUUUAAUUUGAGAAAGAAAAGCUAAUGGAUGCUGGAUUGCCUUCUUCAGAGAAGGUAAUAAGCCUCAUAUGUUUUAUAAAA